UCCCUGUUGGUCAAAUGGCUGAGACUCUACACUCUCAAUGCAGGGGGCUUGGGUUCAAUCCCUGGUCAAGGAA
rnacentral:tRNA from 1 species